CUCGCAAUGACUGUGAUGAGAUAGUAAA
rnacentral:sRNA from 1 species